rnacentral:rRNA from 1 species
AAGAAAUUAAAGGUCGAACAGACCUAAAAACUCAAGCUUCUGCACCCAAAUUUUAAUCUUAAUCCAACAUCGAGGUCGCAAUCCUUUUUGUCGAUAAGAACUCUCUAAAAAGAUUACG